AUUGAACGCUGGCGGCAGGCCUAACACAUGCAAGUCGAGCGGAGCGGCGGACGGGUGCGUAAUGCCUAGGAAUCUGCCUGUUAGUGGGGGAUAACGUCAGGAAACGGGCGCUAAUACCGCAUACUAUUAGCAGCGGCUAGGGCGGGUGAUCUAGUGGGUGGGGUAAGGGCCUACCAAGGCGACGAUCCGUACCUGGUCUGAGAGGAGGAUCAGUCAAACUGGAACUGAGACACGGUCCAGACUCCUACGGGAGGCAGCAGUGGGGAAUAUUGGACAAUGGGCGAAAGCCUGAUCCAGCCAUGCCGCGUGUGUGAAGAAGGUCUUCGGAUUGUAAAGCACUUUAAGUUGGGAGGCGUUACCAACAGAAUAAGCACCGGCUAACUUCGUGCCAGCAGCCGCGGUAAUUC
rnacentral:rRNA from 1 species